UACGUAGGGGGCAAGCGUUUGUCCGGAUUUAUUGGGCGUAAAGAGCUCGUAGGUGGUUCGGUAAGUCGGAUGUGAAAUCUCCAGGCUCAACCUGGAGGGGUCAUUCGAUACUGCCGUGACUAGAGUUCGGUAGGGGAGUGUGGAAUUCCUGGUGGAGCGGUGAAAUGCGCAGAUAUCAGGAGGAACACCCGUAGCGAAGGCGGCACACUGGACCACAACUGACGCUGAGACGCGAAAGCGUGGGGAGCAAACAGG
rnacentral:rRNA from 1 species